GAAGAGUGGGAAGGCUUCUCGCAUUAGGCUGCGUUCGGAAAUAUCAUCUUGUCCUCUGUUUCAUCUUAUCCUUAUUUCACAUUGGAUGAACAACAAGGAUAAAAUGAUACAGAAAGCACUCGGAUGAUAUUUCUGAACAUAGCCUAGAAGGUUGAAGGGUUGAAGAAGCGCUGAUUUCCGUUAACGUUUCAUUUCUUUUACAAAUAGGUGAGGUGAAUCAUCAGAUCGGUCUGAUUCUCUCGCAUGAAAAAUGCGGAAGAGACGUAAGAUGAUUAUUAAAAAAUCUAUACAAAAGAAAGCAUUUUUUAAGGAAAUUGAUAUAAUCUGACUCGUGGAAAGGAAUAAACCAUUUUUAAAAAAUGGCUAAUACAAAUCGGUCCCGAAUUCCAAAAAAAAAAAAAAAUAUCAACAAAGAUCAGAGAGAGUUUCGAGAUUAAAAAAUCCACA